rnacentral:rRNA from 1 species
GACGAACGCUGGCGGCGUGCUUAACACAUGCAAGUCGAACGAAGAGCGAUGGACGCUUGCUUCUAUCAAUCUUAGUGGCGAACGGGUGAGUAACGCGUAAUCAACCUGCCCUUCAGAGGGGGACAACAGUUGGAAACGACUGCUAAUACCGCAUACGAUCUAAUCUCGGCAUCGAGGAUAGAUGAAAGGUGGCCUCUACAUGUAAGCUAUCACUGAAGGAGGGGAUUGCGUCUGAUUAGCUAGUUGGAGGGGUAACGGCCCACCAAGGCGAUGAUCAGUAGCCGGUCUGAGAGGAUGAACGGCCACAUUGGGACUGAGACACGGCCCAGACUCCUACGGGAGGCAGCAGUGGGGAAUCUUCCGCAAUGGACGAAAGUCUGACGGAGCAACGCCGCGUGAGUGAUGACGGCCUUCGGGUUGUAAAGCUCUGUUAAUCGGGACGAAAGGCCUUCUUGCGAAGAGUGAGAAGGAUUGACGGUACCGGAAUAGAAAGCCACGGCUAACUACGU